AGUGAACGCUGGCGGUAGGCCUAACACAUGCAAGUCGAACGGCAGCACAGUAAGAGCUUGCUCUUACGGGUGGCGAGUGGCGGACGGGUGAGGAAUACAUCGGAAUCUACUUUUUCGUGGGGGAUAACGUAGGGAAACUUACGCUAAUACCGCAUACGACCUACGGGUGAAAGCAGGGGAUCUUCGGACCUUGCGCGAUUGAAUGAGCCGAUGUCGGAUUAGCUAGUUGGCGGGGUAAAGGCCCACCAAGGCGACGAUCCGUAGCCGGUCUGAGAGGAUGAUCAGCGACACUGGAACUGAGACACGGUCCAGACUCCUACGGGAGGCAGCAGUGGGGAAUAUUGGACAAUGGGCGCAAGCCUGAUCCAGCCAUACCGCGUGGGUGAAGAAGGCCUUCGGGUUGUAAAGCCCUUUUGUUGGGAAAGAAAAGCAGCAGGUUAAUACCCCGCUGUUCUGACGGUACCCAAAGAAUAAGCACCGGCUAACUUCGUG
rnacentral:rRNA from 1 species